UACGUAGGGUGCGAGCGUUAAUCGGAAUUACUGGGCGUAAAGCGUGCGCAGGCGGUUCGUUAAGUUCGAUGUGAAAGCCCCGGGCUCAACCUGGGAACUGCAUUGGAGACUGCAUUGCUGGAGUACGGAAGAGGAAGGCGGAAUUCCCGGUGUAGCGGUGAAAUGCGUAGAUAUCGGGAGGAACAUCAGUGGCGAAGGCGGCCUUCUGGUCCAGUACUGACACUCAAGUGCGAAAGCGUGGGGAGCAAACAGG
rnacentral:rRNA from 1 species